ACCGGUACAGCCAUUGACUUGGCUUCGUAUUUCUGUUCCAUCCUUGUGUAACCGGUGACAGCCUUUCGUGUACCGGUACACUGUAUAAAACCGUAAAAACUUUCUAAUUCGACUCCGAUUGAUUCUAAAGUCUAUAAAUAAGCUAUUCAGGUUCUUUAACAGAUCAAGCAUCACGAAAAUACAUGUUUGAGAAACCCUAGAGGCUCAAAUUUCAUUCUAAACCUAUUUUCUACAAAUUAGCCUCUUUAGAUCAAAUCGAGAUAUCGUUUCGCAUUCUCUAUAUGUCGAUUUGAUCUCCGC
rnacentral:lncRNA from 1 species